GGCGAGAGACGAUAGCGAACAAGUACCGUGAGGGAAAGAUGAAAAGACUUUGAAAAGAGAGUUAAACAGUACGUGAAAUUGUUGAAAGGGAAACGAUUGAAGUCAGUCAUACCAACGGGAAAUCAACCUUUUGAGUCUGUCCUCGUGGGUUUCGAGGAGUUUAAAAGCCUUCGGAUUUUCUAGGAUUGGGCUCUUUUGGUGUACUUUCUCGUACGGUUAGUCAACAUCGGUUUUGAAUGUCAUAAAAUGA
rnacentral:rRNA from 1 species